rnacentral:rRNA from 1 species
CCGGUGAACUGAAAUAUCUAAGUAACCGGAGGAAAGGACAUCAACCGAGACUCUGUGAGUAGUGACGAGCGAAAGCGGACCAGGCCAGUGGCCAUUUAGAAGAUAACCAGAAGCGUCUGGAAAGGCGCGCCAGAGUGGGUGAUAGCCCCGUAUGGGUAGUGCUUCUUUAUGGUCCUUGAGUAGGGCGGGACACGAGAAAUCCUGUUUGAACAUGGGGGGACCACCCUCCAAGCCUAAGUACUCCUCAACAACCGAUAGCGAACAAGUACCGUGAGGGAAAGGUGAAAAGCACCCCGAUAAGGGGAGUGAAAGAGACCUGAAACCGAAUGCCUACAAACAGUCGGAGCCGCAUAGGCGGUGACGGCGUACCUUUUGUAUAAUGGGUCAGCGAGUUACUUUGACAAGCAAGCCUAAGCCGAUAGGCGUAAGCGCAGCGAAAGCGAGUCUGAAUAGGGCGAAUUAGUUUGUUUGAGUAGACCCGAAACCGGGUGAUCUAGCCAUGGGCAGGUUGAAGAUGCGGUAACACGCAUUGGAGGACCGAACCCACGCCUGUUGAAAUAGGCGGGGAUGACCUGUGGCUAGGGGUGAAAGGCCAAUCAAACCCGGAGAUAGCUGGUUCUUUGCGAAAACUAUUUAGGUAGUGCGUCAGUUAUAACUGUCGGGGGUAGAGCACUGGAUGGGCUAGGGGGGCGCGAGCCUUACCAAACCUAACCAAACUCCGAAUACCGACAAGUUGAGACUGGCAGACAGUCCAUGGGUGCUAAGGUCCGUGGACGA